rnacentral:rRNA from 1 species
UACGGAGGGGGCUAGCGUUGUUCGGAAUUACUAGGCGUAAAGCGCGCGUAGGCGGACCUGCAAGUCGGGGGUGAAAGCCCGAGGCUCAACCUCGGAACUGCCUUCGAUACUGCGGGUCUCGAGUCCGGGAGAGGUGAGUGGAAUUCCUAGUGUAGAGGUGAAAUUCGUAGAUAUUAGGAAGAACACCAGUGGCGAAGGCGGCUCACUGGCCCGGUACUGACGCUGAGGCGCGAAAGCGUGGGGAGCAAACAGG